rnacentral:lncRNA from 1 species
CCUUCAAUUUUUGAGAGGCACGAGCGACUGCUGCGAUUGCAUUACUGUCCAUUAAUCGGCGAUUCAAAUCAACCAGCUUCCGUUUCAAUUCUCCAACGGAACGAACAAGAUGUUCAACUGCGUUUUGGAAGAGUGUUUUCAGAGACUGGUAAGAGUUACUGACGAACCAUAAAAGGCAGAUGCACCAUAAGAAGAGUAGGAUCAUUCCGAAAGGUGAAAGCAGGACAAGCAACUCCAAAUUCAGUGACAGACUUCCAAGAAAGAGGCUAAGUUUGUUCAUCGGAUCUUCCAAAUCUGCGUUAUCGCGUCGACUUGCUUGGAUUGUCAUUAGAAUCAAAGAGAGGAUGUAAAUGCAUGUCACAAUAAUGAAUACGUUCAUCAGCUGAGAGCCGUAGAUCGUCGCAUAUGGAGACACAUUGGGGAACUUGAGUUGCAAGCAGAAUCCCAAGACGCCGAUGAGAGAAAUUAUGCAUGUAUGCAAUUUCACUGCAGAGUAUUCUUUAGUUUGAAUCAACCCUUGUGAAGGUGAAGAGAUAACCACAGUGGUGUCUGCCAUUCCACAGCUUUUCAUAGCAUAAUUAAACUUUGGCCUUAAUUUAAACUUCGAGAGUGUAAACUGAAAGUUUGGCGCAAUGGCGACGUACGCGAUGAGAACAAAGCUAUACAUGACAAAGCGCACUGUUUGCCAAAGGAGGGACUGCCCUGUAUUGGUAUAUGCUUCCUAUAUUUCUACUGGCAUCUUGCCAAAGGAGUAACUGCCCUGUAAUGAAGGGACUGCCCUGUAUUGAAUUUUUUUUGUUUUUCUACUGGGAUACCAGAUUCCUUCUUUUUUGUUUCACCACUAACCUCCACAUUGAACCAGAGAUCGUUUCUGAGACCCACAUAGACUAAAUAUUUAAACUAUUUCGCAUCUGUGUCUUCAUUUGGCUACCGUAUUUCUUUGGUAUAAUUCUGAUUAGCCAUGGUAAAGAUUCUCACGUUUGUUUUCUCUUGGUCUUUAGAUCUGUGUUUACGACGAAGAGAACGUGUUUGUUUAUGGCCUAACUCUAUUUGCAUACAGAGCAUUCAGCAUUGAACAACAUGUGCCAUUAUGAAUGUUUGCGAGGCGUACAUUAUUACUAAUAUAGAGGGUGAAAUGUUAUUCUGUCUUAACUGCAGAAUGAUAUAUUCUUCUUGAUACAAGACACACAAUAUUCUGCCCUUAUGAUGAUUUACAUGCAUAGUUAAUCAGUACGAAUCUAAAGCUCAAGCCUACUUGCAAUUUCCAGGAAGAAACAGUUGUUUAUCAUAUUGUCGAGGAAAACAAUAAGAGUAAAUGACACUUUAGUACUAAUUUUAAAGGUUUAUUGCCCAUUCCAAUGAAAAUCUCUUUACCAACUCCAUUCCAAUGAAUUCUAAUAAAAGGACGUCAAUACUCUCACCCUAAUUUAACUCUCUUUCUCCUCUUUUUUCCUGAUCAUUAACUCUCUCUCUCUCUCUCUCUCUCUCUCUCUCUCUCUCUCUCUCUCUCNCUCUCUCUCUCUCUCUCNCUCUCUCUCNCUNUCUCUUCUCUCUCUCUCUCUCUCUCUCUCUCUCUCUCUCUCUCUCUCUCUCUCUCUCUCUCUCUCUCGGAAUCCAGAUCGGAUCUGAGGACCGGACUCACCCCACAUGCGGCGUUCGUCAACCUCGGUGGCGAUCGGACAUGGACGUCGGAAGCAGCUCAUUCAUGGAGGAGUUGGUCUUGUUUACUGUGUUGUUGUUCUCCGGCCUGAGCAGUUGCUCGGCCGAUACGAGCUCGGCACCAAGCACAUUGACCCACUCGUAGUUGCGGGUGUUGCCACGCCAGGCGACGUAGAUUUCGCGGUGGCCGAUGGACUUGCUGUACUGGUCAGUGGUGACGACGACGUAGCCGAUCCAGUUAGACUCGCGGUCCCACGACUCGUGGGACAUGGAGUGGAGGAGGAAGGCCUCUGGGACGCUGACUUGUGCGGUGGUGUAGAGGAAAAAGGCGAUCUCGUAGUUGGCGGCGUCUUGGAGCAUGACUUUGUCGAAGAAGUUGGCGUGGCCGUAGCGGCUGGACCCGGCGUACUUGGAGUUGGCGUCGUUGUUGAAGGCGUCGUAGGUGCCCUGGCAGAAGUCGCCGCAGCGGAGGAUCAGGGUUCGGAGGUGGACGUCCAGCGGGUCCAGGAGGCCGGCCCAGUUGUUUUCUCCGAGGAGAGCUGACCAUGCUAGACCUGCUACUGGUUCAGUAGUGGAAUCAGGGGUCUGGGUCUGGGUGGUGGUAUGAGUAUCCAUGGCUGGUUUUAGUUCAGAGAGUGAAAGUUGGUUUUGGUAGUAAACUUCAUUUUUUCGCAUCUACGUUGAUUUUUCUCUUUUUCAAUGUGAAUUAUGGCAUUGAAGCUACUGUUUUGUAAGUUUACUACCCCCAGUAAAAGUUUAGUAGGGGUAGUAAACUUUAGUUUUUACGAAUCUAAAUUGGUUCUUCCUCUGUUUUAGUGUGUAUUAUGGUCUUGAAAAUACUGUUUUGCAAGUUUACUACCCCCAGUAAAAGUUUACUAGGGGUAGUAAAUUUUAUUUUUUCGCAUCUAAGUUGAUUUUUCUCCGUUUUAAUGUGUACUUAUAGCCUUGGAGAUAUUAUUUUGCAAGUUUACUACCCCCAGUAAAAGUUUACUAGGGGUAGUAAACUUCAUUUUUUCGCAUCUAAGUUGAUUUUCUCCUUUUCAAUAUGAAUUAUGACAUUGGAGCUACUGUUUUAUAAGUUUACUACCUCCAGUAAAAGUUUACUAGGGGUAGUAAACUUUAGUUUUUCGAAUCUAAAUUGUUCUUUCUCUGUUUUAGUGUGUAUUAUGGUCUUGAAAAUACUGUUUUGCAAGUUUACUACCCCCAGUAAAAGUUUACUAGGGGUAGUAAAUUUUAUUUUUUCGCUUCUAAGUUGAUUUUUCUCCGUUUUAAUGUGUACUUGUAGCUUUGGAGAUAUUAUUUUGCAAGAUUACUACCCCCAGUAAGAUGUUUACUAGGGGUGGUAAACUUUAUUUUUUUGCAUAUAUGUUGAUUUUUUCUCUCUUUUAAGGUAUAUAAUGGUCAUAGGAAAAUUGUAUUGCAAGUUUACUACCCCCAGCAGAAGUUUAUUAGGGGUACUAAACUUUAUUUUUCUGCAUCUAAGUUGAUUUUUCAUUGUUUUAAGGUGUAUAACAGUCAUGGAGAAACUUUAUUUUGAGUUUACUACCCCCAGUAAAAAGUUUACUAGGGGUAGUAAACUUUACUAGUGUGUAUUAUGGUCUUGAAAAUACUGUUUUGUAAGUUUACUACCCCCAGUAAAAAGUUUACUAGGGGGUAUAAACUUUUUUUUUCGUACUUAGGUUAAGAUCACGUAAAUUCCGAUGACAUUUAAAAAAAUCCAGUGAGAUUCCGAAAAAUCCGGUCCACCGGAUGCCGGCAAUUUUCCGGCCGUCGGAAAAUUCAGGUCACCGGUGACCGGAAUCCAGCGGCCCGGAGUUUAGAGUCCGGCGACCGAAAUGCGGCUGCCGGUGACUGGCGUCGGAGCCCGGUGUGCUUCCGGCAAAGUCUUCCCUCCAUCUUUUUCACUUUUUCUCUUUAAGUAAAAGCUAAGGGUAAAAAAGUCUUUAAAAAUAUAAUUUUAUUAUAUUUUAAUAAAAAUUUGUGUAUUUGGGCUUAAAAUAAAUACCUUGUAUUUAAAUGGGCUAAGAAAAAAGAUUAUCAUUGAAAUAGGGUUUGACUUUUUCUAUUUUGUGCAAAUUGUCUUUUUCCCGAUCUUUAAUUAUGUAGUUUGGUGGUUUUUGAGGUCUAAACCCUAAAUGAUUGGCUCAUUGUAGGUUUCCAUGAAUAACACCUCUCUGUCAGAAGAAAAGGAACAAGUAGCAAAGAAGUGUAGAAAAACUAAAGACUACCAAGAAACUGUAUCCAGAGUGUUAAACAGCACGUGGCCCGUAAAUCACAUUAUAUUGAUACUGUCCCAACUUAACCACCUUUAAAGUGUUGGGUUUUAAUCACAAAAGGCCUCGGUAGAAUUGGAUAAGAUUCAUCCACUUAUAAGUUAUAUUUUAUUUGUCACUUUUCUGAUGUGGGAUCUAUUCCUCUCCAAUACUUCCAACACGCCCUCUCACAUGCAACCUGACUCAAGGUCUGCACGUGGAAUGAAUCAGGACGGAACUAACCAAGGGACACUCGGUGACAAUCCAAUCAGAACAUUCCGAUGGUAAGAUGAGAAGUCAGAACUGGGCUAGAGAAUAGAAUCCCGAACCAAACGAGAGAAUGAACCCAAAUCGGGUCCAUAAGAAUUGGAGAAGUAAUUGGAGAGGGACCCGCUCUGAUACCAUGUUAAACUGCGCGUGGCCCGUGGAUCACAUUGUACCGAUACUGUCCCAACUUAACCAUCUUUAAAAUGUUGGAUUUUAAUCACAAAAUGUAUCGGUACAAUUAGAUAAGAUCCAUCCACUUAUAAGUUAUAUUUUAUUUAUCACUUUUUUCUGAUGUGGGAUCUAUUCCUCUCCAAUACUUCCAACACAUAGCAAUGUAUCAAAUUUGAACUAAGAAUGACAUCCCAAGUCUAAAAAAGAAGAGGAAGGAAGAAACAAGGAAGAGAUUUACUAAGAGUUGUGAAUGUUGAGAGUUAACAGAAUGCCUCGAUAUAAUUGGAUAAGAUCCAUCCACUUAUAAGUUAUAUUUUAUUUGUCAUUUUUCUAAUAUGGGAUCUAUUCCUCUCUAAUACUUUCAAUACAUAUCAAGGUAUAAAAUUUGAAUUAAGAAUGACAUCCAAGUCUAAAAAAGAAGAGGAAGGAAGAAACAAGGAAGAGAUAUACUAACAGUUGUGGAUGUUGAGAGUUAACAGAAGUACAGUCCAUUGAUUUCACAGGCAGCUUUCUGCAGAGCUCUUCUUACUCUUGAACAAGACAAUGUUUAAUGUGUUGAAUGUUGAUGAUACCAUACAAGAUUAGAGAUUUAUAUAGCCCUAUAGGCUUUUCUGCUAAAAGUGAGGAUGAGUUUGAUGAAACAGAAUAGGGGCUCUUGUUUAAUAGGGGCGUUUGCAUUUGUGGGGGCUUUUGUUUGCGUUUGUAAUAUCAUCAAUUUUCUAUAGAAAUUCAACGUCUCUGAUAGCUAGUCAACACUUGUAUCCCCAGAAGCAAAUAUAUUGGCGUCACAUAAAAAUAGUCCGAAGUCCGAACAGCGAAAAGAAGUAUCGUAUGACAGAUUGGAGUCCAAGAGGAGUGUUAGCUUGGUAUGAAAGACAAACCUAGCUUGGUAUGAUAGACAAACAUUUAUCUAUUUAGCUUGGCUGAUAUAUAGUUAGAUUUGACUCCAAGGUUCAACUCCUCUCGGAGUCAAAUCUCUUUUUUAUGUAGAAGUUAAAAUGGACAAUCUGGGACCCUUUUCGUUUCGGUACUUCACACUUCGAUGUUAGUUUCUGUUAUUUUUCUGUGAGAAAAUGGAUAGAGUGGCUCUGUUUGAAUGAGCGUAAUUUCUAUUUCUAAUUUAAUUCUGGUAGGUUGAUGUUUCUGGAGGUCCAAGAACGGUUUGGCUCAUCGGAGGUUUAUCGAGGACAGAAGCAGAGGCCAUAUGGGGUAAUUGGGCGGCGAAUAUUUGUCAUCAUAGAUUCUAAAUAACCUCCUAAAAUGAACAUUUCCUGAAGAACACCUCGUGCAUGUAGUGUGUUUCUACUUUCUAGUUCAAAAGAAAAGGAAGAAGUAGCAAAGAAAUAUAUAUUGAAAAAUGAAAACUAAAGACUAAACAAGAAACUGCGUCCAGAGCAAGGUAUCAAAUUUGAACGAAGAAUGACAUUUCAGGUCUAAAAAGGAAGAAGAAGAAGAAGAACGAUUAAACAAGGAAGAGAAAAACCAAAGCAAAUACUCAAAUAGUAGCGAAAGUAGAUAUACUAACAGUUGUAAACGUUGAGAGUUAACAGAAAUGUCGUCCUCCAUUGAUUCCACAAGCAGCUUUCUGCAGAGCUUUUCUUACUCUUGAACGAAAGUAAGAGUAGGGUGCUUUUUAGAAAACAAGACUCGGGUGUAGAGUGUCGAAAUUUGAUCCCAUACACAGUGCUCAUAUAGGCUUUGUUGGGUUAAAUGUGAAUGAGGUUGAUAAAAUAUAAUAAACGUCCAAUUUCAAGCCUCAAGCAGUUUUUUUGUAUUCGACUUGCAACCAGUUCGGAAAUGCCCACACUGUCCUGUCGAUUUGGACGUUUCUGUUUUACCGAAACCAGAAAUUCAUGAUAAUUCCGUAAUUUGCUGUAUCCGAACAAUGAAGAGAAAUAUCCUAUUGUAGAAAAACUGUUUUUUUUUUUUUUUCCCGACAAUUGUAGAAGUUAAACUGUUGAUGUUUGGAUGAGUUCUUAAAGUCUUCUCAAGUUUCGAUUUGGAUAGCUUUCUUCGUUGCUGCAUUUAUUUUGGGUAUGUUGGGUUAGGUCAUCUCUUUUAUAAUUUUCAUCUUCUUUAAUAAAACCUCAGGUGUUGUGGAGUUCUUCAUCCUGUUCGAUCAAUACAGAAAAUCAUACAUCGUCUAUUUCUCAAUGACCCGACUCUCUGACAUAAUGGUAUGGAGGUUUUGUUACCACCUGUUCAGCAGAACACCCAAACAACCGAAAUAUAAUCAAAUUCAAAGUAGAAUGGAUACCCAAAUCAACCUCAAAUAUAAUCUAUCAGAACACCUCUAUAACACUCUUGCUGUAAUGUUACACUUUUCCGUUCAGCAAACUUUUCUAUAAACUUAUUAUGAUUAAUCAUACAAGUCCACUCAAUAAAUGACUUAUCUCCUUUAUUUUAGAGAAACAGGAGACCUAUCAAUCGGAUAUCUUUGCCGCGGUGGACGCCUUCUCCUCUUACGUAGCCCAACGUGUCACUGCCAUACUUCUUUCCUCGAGUUCCUGCAGCUCUCCACAUUGAGGCUGCAGCUCCAUCUGGGGCUGACAAACUGCAGCCUGCACAGUACUAGUAGUAGAUAAAGUGCAAUUUCCCAAACGCUUCCUCCCUCUUCCCCCGCCAACCUUACCAGCAUUUCUCUGGGAUAAACCCGACUGCCAGCUGCCACCACUUGAUCUAAUCGACCCUUCAAAUGUUUUAAGAUCCUCAGUCACCUUAUUUCUUGACAAGCAAGCAAUACCGGGGAGAACAUCCCUCUGCAAAUCCUUCUUUUGCCUCCCUCUCCUUGUUGGACCCCUUUGUAGCCGUUUUGACAAUGACUUCUUUUUUUGGGUUGUCUGACGCGACAUUGCAGCACUGAUCUAACUCGGUUUCCGCCAGAUUUAAUGUCAUGUACGCAAAGUAAUCCAUUGAGUCCAGUGAGGAGUCUUCAUUACAGGCAGAAGUCAACCUGACAAAUGGGCGGGUUGGGCGGUUAACGGGCGGGCUGUGACGGGUUAACGGGUUCAACGGGUUCAACUUGUUACAACCCGUUAAGCUAAUGGCUUAACAGGUUGAACCCCUUUGGUUCAUGGGUUAUCUGUUGGAACCUGCUAAGACCCGUUAAGGUCUUUUUUUUUAUUUUUUUUUUUUUAAUUAUUUCUUUUUCUUAAUAACUAAUCAACUACCUUUUUUUUUCUUUUUAAUAUUCUUUUCUAAUAAAAUCAAAUACCCAUAUUUUCUUCUCUUCUAAUAUUUCUUUUUAUUUUUACCCGUUGGUAAUGCUGCUUCAACAAUAUUACUUCUCCUCUAUGCAAUUAUAAGUUUAUAACAUUAAUAUCCAAUUGUAAAAUUGAUGUCAUUCGCCAAGCUAUAAUCAGACCAAUAUUUCUCAAACUUGAGGUUCAUGUCAUUCGCCAUUUGUCUCAUGAAUGCAUCUUUGUCUUUCAUGGCUUGUUGAAUGUUGUGCUGAAUCAUAAAUACCUUGGGGAAAAACAAGUUCGAAGUUGGAUACUUGGUUCCAGAAAAUAGGCAAGUGACAUCAUAAAAAUAUCCUAGGAACCUCGAGGUCUGCUCAACCUUGAUCCAUUCAUCAAAAGAAGAACAACACUUAAAAUCUGUGUCACAUAAUGCAAAGUUGAUCAAAGCACGGCGAUAGAAGAGUACACUAUCUAGCAUAAGAUAGGUGGAGUUCCAUCUAGUAGGCACGUCUUGUCGCAAAGCUCUCCUACUACCUCCCAUUCCAACUUGAUCAAUACAGCCCAAAAAUCUUUCCUUUCUUGCCAUUGAACCCUUGAUGUACUUGAGACACUCACGAAUCUUUAUCACUGACUGAUCAAUAGAUUUCAACCCAUCUUGAACAAUUAAGUUCAAGAUAUGUGCACAACAUCGAACAUGAAAAAAUUUCCCAUUUAACAAGAGUAGCCCUCUAAAAUUCAACUGAGUUCUCACUUCUCAACAAAGGAAUCAUUAGCAGAUGCAUUAUCCAAUGUAAUCAAAAACAGUUUCUUCUCAAGUUUUUAAGCACUUUUGUCAUGCAACCGAACUGUAAUAAGCAAGCAAAAUAAAUACUCUUUUAUUAUAAGUUACUGUUUCAUGGGUACUUCCAACUACAGAUAUAUUUUUUCAGAAAGUAUGUACCUGUUAAUGAGAAAUAGCAUUCUUCGAUAUAACAUCAAAAGUAACUCCAUUUUCUUGAAGCCUUUCUUGAAGAUCAGUUGGUCCAAAUACAAUCCCAGCUGGGAGAACUCCUCCCUUUGGAAGGUCGUCACGUUGGCUCAGAACAAUAAGAGCACAUUGAAGUAGAAUUAUCGGGGUCGUUAGGUAUCCAAUUUCAGGUCCCAUAACUCUUGUUACUAUUUCCAUAUCAGGUUUUGUGUUUCCCUGAGAAACAAGACUCCUGUCGCUGAAACCACGUCCAACAAACCACAUCUUAAAAGAAGCACUUCUCACCUCCUCAUCAGAUGGACCCUCCUUUCUGAACAAUCCAACACUGAAGAAUGAGGGAAACUUUAAAAGCAGCCACCUCCCAAAGGAAAAUAGACCCAAGAGCCCAAGAAAGAGUCCAAAAAUCAUGAUCCGAAUAAUGCCCAACAGAGACUUGGUGCCUAUCUUCACCCCAAAAUGAGCUGGCUUCACUGUUGACCAGAAGGCUUCUCUUUUCUUAAUAUGUUCAUCAGUCUCAUUCCUCCCUGGAAGACCACCAGGAUUUUCAGUCAAAGCACCAAGUGUUCUUCGUACAACAAUAGCAUCUGCUGAAGGUAGCUUCACAGCCCAAAGACCAAUCUUUUUCUGGUGUUCAAUAAUUGGUCCUUUAGAAGGAGAAGGACCAGGAAUCUACAAACAAAAACGUAAAUCAUGAUCAAUCAAUUGAACUCCCUGGCCAUUAAGAUACAUAUCAAUCUUUGUUCUCAACCCCCAAAAGUUACAUUUUUUAGUGUCUAUGCCGCAAACAUUUGAAGGAGAACUGCAAGGUAUAAUUCUAUAAACUAUGAAUCCCCUAUAUCAUUCAGCAAUAGAACUAAAAAUGCAUGAGUAAGCCAUUCUACAUGUGUCUUGGCUACCAAUAUUCUACUGUUAGCUUCCGAUAAAACUUGUAAACUUGUGUACAAAGACGUGCAGGGUAUCAUAUAGCAAAGGAUGUACAGUACAUAACUACCAAUAACCAAACCACUGAUUACGUCUGUAAGGAAUUUGAACAAAGAUACAACAAAGAACAAAGAAACACAAGCCUCAAUUGUCGUUCUUUACUAACUAACCAUAACUGCAUCUAAAGUUCUAAGCUGCCACUGGUAUAACACAAACAGAGCUACUUUAACAUUUCAUUUCUGCUUUCCCCUACAUCACUAUCCACAAAAACAGAACACAGCAGCAAAGUUUUCAACUUCAAACAACAAAACCAAUCAAGCAAUCAACAAAUCCAAAAAAGUAUGGUAAUCUAAUCAAACUCAUUACUUGCGGCCUCGGUUUUUUUGGCCUGGACCGCCGGAGCGCAUUGGUCACACCCAACACCACCGACUCAAACGUCCCAAAGUUCCCCGCAAUCCUCUUAUCACUCUCCAAGCUCAAAUAAGCCUCCACCCUAUUCGGUACCGCCGCCCCCUCCCACUGCCUCGAGUUAAACAUCACUCCAAGCUCCGCCGGAACAGAGUCAAACCCGCAUGCCGAAAUGACCAAACUACCCUUCUCCGCCGCAUUUUCAAAGUAACUCGCCUCCAUCCUCUCCAUGAACUCCGGCUCUCCNNNNNNNNNNNNNNNNNNNNNNNNNNNNNNNNNNNNNNNNNNNNNNNNNNNNNNNNNNNNNNNNNNNNNNNNNNNNNNNNNNNNNNNNNNNNNNNNNNNNNNNNNNNNNNNNNNNNNNNNNNNNNNNNNNNNNNNNNNNNNNNNNNNNNNNNNNNNNNNNNNNNNNNNNNNNNNNNNNNNNNNNNNNNNNNNNNNNNNNNNNNNNNNNNNNNNNNNNNNNNNNNNNNNNNNNNNNNNNNNNNNNNNNNNNNGGAGAUUCCCAAAUGAAUGGGGAAUCAUUCGGGGAAAGAUCGUGUUGGAUAUUAUAAGCCAAUUUGUUUCUAAUUUUUGGCAUAGAUCGUUUAGCCGGGGCUAGAGUUUCUUCUCUAUUAGUUCAUAGAAGCUAGGAGAAGAUGCAGAGUUGAGUUUGGGUUAGAGCUUUUCGGAUUUGAGAGGAAUCAAAGCCUAUAGAACUGUUAUGAAUUGAAAACUAACCUCUUCCCUUGAGCUAAUGUAAUCAUAAUGCGACAAUUAACUGAUUCAAAUAGUCAGUCUCUGUUUUCCGCGAAAGUCAUGUCUCUGUUUUAAACCCCAAAUCCCAAAUCAAAACUAAUGUAAUACAAACUCAAUCCAGCAGAGUAAACUGGAAAAUUUGUUUUAGUUAUUAUCUUAUUACAACAAAAGCCUUCAUUUUUUAUUCAAUCAGGUGUAUCAAGUCUGUGGCAGCUAUAGAAAUUAAACAGGCACCUCAUUGGUGUGGUUCUGGAUCAGGUCAUUCAAUUUCUGAGAGGCAUGAACAACUGCUGCGAUUACAUUACUUUCCAUUAAUCGGCGAUUCAAAUCAACGAGUUUCUGCUUCAAUUCUCCAAAGUCUCCUUUGAGAUGCUCAACUGCAUUUUGGAAGAGUGGUUUCAGAGACCGGUAAGACUUGCUCACGAACCAUACAAGGCAGAUGCACCAGAAGAAGAGUAAGAUCAUUCCGAAAGUUGAAAUCAGGACGAGCAGCUCUAAUAUCAGGGAUAGACUUCCAAGUAAGAGGGUGAUUUGGAUCAUCAGAUCUUCCAAAUCUGUGUUAUUGCCAUCGGCCAGAAUUGCCAUCACAAUCAAAGAGAGGAUGUAAAUGCAUGUCACAAUGAUGAAUACGUUCAUCAGCUGAGAGCCGUGGACCGUCGUGUAUGGAGACACAUUGGGAAACUUGAGUUGCAGGCAGAAUCCCAAGACGCCGAUCAGAGAUAUUAUGCAUGUAUGCAAUUUCACUAUGGAAUAUCUCGUAAGAACAGCCUCCCUCCUUGUGUUUGUGUUGGUGCUAUGACAGAGAAAAUUAACUUAGUUAGAACUAUAUUCUAUGUCCAUGUCAAUUAAAUUUGUAAAAACACCGUGGUGUGUGUUAAUUUGUUGAUGGAUACAAGAAGUUCGGAAGAAAAUGAUAAAAAAACAGGGGAUUCCUAGUCAAUCAUGCAGAGGAUAUUGGAUUACAUAAUCUUUGCAACCGAAUAGAGUUUAAUAUCUAAGGACCGGGUUAGUAUUAUUAUACCUUGAUCUGAAUCAUAUGAUUGUAGGAUGCGUGAGGUCAAAUUUUAAUAAAAGCAUUAAAGAACACUAGAAUCUAUAACUAUAAGAAAGAAAUAGAGAAGAGUUUUUAUUGAUUGUUCUGGGAGAAGUAUUGAGGCUCUUAUCCUGUGCAUGAAGUAAGUGAUGCAGUAUGAAGAUCGUGUUCUUUCUUUUAAAAAAAUAUAUAUAUCCUUNNNNNNNNNNNNNNNNNNNNUUUUGUUUCGUUUUUUUUUUUUUUUUUUUUGUAAUAAUCUUGAUGUGGGCUGGACUCACACCGACUAGAACCGAGAGAUUAUUGCGUGGCCUGGUACUUUGUUAAUGGGCCAAUUGAUACUGCCUGUUUAUGUCAAAUUGAGCCGGUCCACUCGCAAAACUCAACAAUAUUGCUUCCCGCUCUUUUCCGCGAAAUUCAUCAAAAAGCAGAAAUCUUUGCAACUUGGUCUAAUUAUGUACAGAAUUGCAAUCUGAAAAAGUGAAAACGAAAGCAUGAAAUAGAAAUUACAGUGUUACACUGGUAGCUCCUUGCUGAGGUUCUUGGUUUCAUCAUGCUCCGUCGAAUAGCGGCUCCUCUUAAUCAGAUCCAUCAAUUUCUCGUAAGCACGACCGAGUCCAGCAACUGAUCCCAUCAGCGGCCAUUUAGUGAGAUCAGUCUCACUUGGAAUUCACCCAAGGCACUUUUGCAUAGUGUUUUAGACAGUUGGUACUAAUCAAUUGCAGUGAUUAUAAGAUACAUGCUCCAGGAGGAGAAGGCGAACCAUCCGAAAGAAACCAUUAAGAAUAUAAACUAGUAAUUGAAGUUAUUACAGUAACUUGCUAAAUCAAAUGUCCGAAUGUAUCAUAUAUUUAUCACCAUAUUCUGAUAUUCAUCAAAUAUACGAGGUAGGUAGAAACUAAACAGGAGAUAGCUCAAUCAUCUGGUUCUGGUCUUGUGCUUUAUGCUCCAUCAUCUGGUUCUCGUCUUGUGUUUUAUGCUCUGUCGUGUGGUCACUCCUAAUCAACUCAGGCGAUGCAACAAUGCCGCUAUAUAACCUUGUACAGUAUUCCAUCAAGCUGUCAUUGAUCCAUUUCAGUUUCUCCUUCAAUUCCACAAAGGCUAGGCGAAGAAGAAGCACAACUGCAACUACAACGCUCACUGUAAGGAUGGUCCAUAGGAAGAACGGAACUGAUCCAUAAGAUAGAACAAUGAUGAGCAGUUCCAAAAUCAAGGCAAGAAUCCCAAAGAAGAUGCUAAUGUUGUUUGUGAAUGCACCAAAAUCUUUGAGAUCGGGAUCAGCUUUGAGUUUCUUGGCCGCGUACAUUAAUCCAAAGUAGAAGACUAAGACUACAUCAAGUAGUGUGAUGAGAUUUUCCAUCCCUGUUGUAUACUUCAGUCCAAAUAACAAGGCAAAGAAUGCGUUCAUUCCAUGGUGAAAGUCCCCUGAACUGCUCCGACUCGGUGGAGUAGCCUCCUCCCUUUUCCUGUUAUGAUUUGAUCAGGAGUUCAGGACACAAAAGAUUAGUCAAAAACCAUAAUAACAGAGCUCCACUGUUACAUUAAUAAAGCAACAUCUCACUGUGAUAACUGAUAAGAUACCAUAUAAAGGAAAAUCAGCAUUGAUAUUGGUGGAAACAUAUAUAUAUCAACCAAUUUAGUGUUGCCAAGUAUCAAGAAUCAGCAAUAUGAAAAAUUGAAUGCAACAGUAGGGCGUUCUCCGAGGAUUAAGGCCAACACCGACCACCGCAAUUCCAUUCCAGAGAACGGCCCAAUUCCCUCCUGCCGAGUCCACUCGCUCAGCCGCUCCAAUUCUUGGUAUAACAAUCUCCCACUCUAUCAUUCUGCUAAUCCAGGGCCACUGAGCAGAGACUAUUCUGGUGAACUUUGAGGUGAUUGAAGACGAGCAGUAAAGGAAGACAAAGGACGAUGCCGUGAUCAGGAGAACGUGAUUUAACAGGAUGAUACCGUGGAAGCGGACGGAGCGGUGGACCAGGUCGGCGGAGUAGAAUAGGGUGACGCGGAAGCCGGAGAAAAAGAGGACGACGUUGAAGCCGGAGAUGAAUAUCGGAGAAGAUGAAGAGGACGGGCCGAAACCCGAGAUGUAUACGACUCCUACGGAGACGUAUACGACUCCUCCGGAGAAGAGGACAGGGAGUCAGGGUCUCAGGGUCUCAGGGACGACGAGGACAAUGAAGCCUACAACAAAAAGAGGACGGUGUUGGUGUUGGUGUUGGUGGUGCCGUUUUUCUUGCAUGUGGUGGUGGACUGUUGGUGAUGUUGAUAAUGGUGGCGGUGCUGGGUUUAGUAGUGGUGGUGGUGUUGUUGCUGGUGGCGGCGGUGUUUGUGGUUGUGGUGGUGUUGGCCGUGAUGGUGUUGUUGUUUGUAGUGGUGGUUAAGGUGGUGAUUGUGGACUUGUGGUUGUGGUGGAGGUGGUGGUGGAGUUUGUGGGGGUGGUACUGGAGGUGAAAUGGCGGCGUAACGCGGUGUUUGUGGUGGUGGUGGAGGUGUUAUGUUGUUCUUUACGGCGGCGCCAGCGGUGGUACCUCAAAAAUACCCCAGGAAAAAAAAACAUAACAACAACAAAAAGAUUUUGUUUGAUCAAUGCAUAAAAACUAGAAGGGAAAUUAACAACAUCCUUUUCCAGAAGCGGAAGAUCAGCGGCAGAGCUCAUAGCGGCUUUUUGCAGUUCUAUUUCCUUCUUCUCUUCCACAAGUUUAGUGAUGAGCGUAAUGGAACACAGGCUGGAGACUGAAAACUCUAAACGAAAGAUUCUUUGGCACAGUUGCAGUUGCGUGAAAAUUGUUGACGUCGCAUGACUUCUAGAUAGAUACACAAGAUGUGAGGAUGUGUUGCGGCUGUUCAGCCCCUGAAUAUUUGUCAAAUGUUGAGGCUACGCCAAUAUCAGCAUCAAUUCUCAAAACAAUUAGACAAAUGUUGAGAGAGAGAUCAGCCGACCCUUCUCAACAUUUGAGCAACCAAGCCCUUCUCAACAUUUGCGAAACCAAGUCCCUUGGCUGAGAGUGACCCUUUGUAAUAAUUGUCCCCACCAUAUUCUUAGUCUAAAGUUCAAGAUAGGCUAACUAUAUUAUGACCAGACAAUAAAUGAAGUUUAUUGACAGUCGAAGCUUAUAUGUAUUUAUCUUUCUCUAACAAAAGAUUUUCUUGUGACUUGCUCAAUAGAUUCAAGCAACAAUAAGAAGAAAUAUUUGUCAAUUUCUCGGGUAUAAGUAAAGUGUAUAACACAUUGGACUAUUAGUUUUCUUCUAUUUUUUCUCGGCAUCAAAUUUUUUAUUUUUUUGGAUAAAUCAAACAAUGUGAUAUAUUUGUUUUUAAAAUUGAAGCUAUUGUGUUUGAUGAUUUAAACUAUAUAUAUAAAGUAUUAAUAUAAUCAUUAUUUAACAUACAAUGACAUAUGUAAAUUGUGACUAUUUAAAUUUUGACCUUGCUUGAUAAAAUUUCUGGCUACGCCACUGCCUAUAUUGGCUACGCCUCUGGCAACAUGUAUAUUUUGAGCGAUAUGGAUAUUAUAGAGAUUAGAGAGUAACAUAUGUGCAUGUUAUAGAUUACAACUAAUUAGAUUUAGUUUCUCCACCACCUGCGCAUAUGUUCAUUGACUGGUGAGUAGGGAUGACAAUGGGUAAGGUAGAGUUAGGGGAUCAAAAUACCAUACCCGUACCAUUUUUCAUUCCUCAUCCCCAUACCUGCCCCAUUUCCCGUAAUUAGAUAAUGAAGACUCCCCGUACCCGUCUUUUUUGGGGAUUACGUUCCCAUACCCACCCGAUCCCCGUUAACAAUUAUGUAAUAAUUAAUUUUUUAAAAAAUAAUUACAAAAUAUAGAAAUAUAAAAAUAAAAUCAAAUACAUAUAUAAAUAAGUUUCUUGAUUCAAUCCAACAAAAACGAAUACAAGUCUCGGUUAAAAAAGAAGUUUCUAUAAAUAUUUAUUAAGAGAAUCAUAGUAAAAAAAACAUAUUACAAAAUAUUUUACAUAAAUAUCUAUUUAUAAAUAAUAUAUAUAUUAAAAAUAAUAUUUCCAUUCUAAAUGGGUGGAGAUGGGGAUGAAUAUCAAAAUAUCAUACCCGCCCCGUACCCGAUUCAAAAAUCCGAAUACUGAGGAUCCCCAUAUCUGUCACCCGUUUAUCUCAGUAUAUCUCUCCCGUUAAGGUCGAAUACCCAUGAGUACCCUACUCACUGGGUAUUAUUGUCAUCCCUACUGGUGAGAGCAAAUUUGAAGCCAAUGUGAAUUAAAAAGGGUGCGGCUAUUUCCACCCCAGUAAAUGCUCAGUUCACCCCACGCUUUAUUUUUUACCUUCGACGUUCCAAUUCUGCCCUUAAAAUUUUGAGAAAAUCUGGUUUUUAUUUUAUUUCUUUUAUUUUCCUCAAUAUGAUAAAAUCUAAAAAUAUAUACACAUAUCUCAUCAAUAUAUUAUCAAUAUAUUUGACACAGACCUCCAUUCUUCUCAAACCACAUCAUAUAUAUGUUCUCCUCGAUCUCUUUCUUAAGUUCAUUCUUUACGAUUAUGAAUAUAUACAUAUAUAUACAUAUAUGUGUAUAUAUAUAUGUGUGUGUGUGUGUGAAAGACUACAUUUGAAACCAUAAAUAAAAUAAAAAUAAGAACGAACAAUCCCACCACACUGUAUAACUACUCUAUUGAAGAUUGAAGUGAUCCUCGAUCAAAUUUGAUUUGAAAAAUCGAUGUAGAAAAUUGUUUUUUAUUUUUUAAAAUUUUUUUUCCUGAUGUAAAGAUGUAGAGAAUUGUUGUUGUUUGGAUUUUAUAGAUUUUAGUUUAAUAUUAUAUUUUCACAAAAAUUAUUGAUUGUGGGGUUAGUAUUGAAAUAUUUAGUUUAAAAUUAAAAUGUGGGGUGAACAAAGUAUUUAGUGAGGUGGCAAUAGCCGCACCCAUUAAAAAUUGCAUAAUAAAUCUGGUGGUCAGACAUUUCCCAAGAUAUAUAUACAUGUUUAAAAACAUUAGAACUUUUGGGUCCUAAAACCUCAAUGAACAAGAAUUAUACAAAAUAAGAAAAUGGUUAUGUGUGGUUCCUUUUCCUCUGAUGUUAAGAGUAAAGACUUAAGCCCGAUGCGAGUGUGAGCAGGAGACUUGGGAGAGAUAAUUAGAAACCCUUCAUGUAAAAACAGCUUUAUUUAAUUAUCAUAUCUGGCCACUAUUGUGAAAUCUAAAAGAAAAAUAGAUUAUUCUAAAAAAAAAAUUGACUGUUGAAAAAGCAAAACAACAAUCGUGGAGGAUAGGGGAUUAAUAGAGUAUGAGUUAUAUUAUUAAGGACUCACCCAUUUCUGAAGGUAGUGCUAACAGAUUCAUUAUCGCUAAUGGUUUUUUCGAUUGUUAGUAUAUAUAAUAACAAAUUAUAUAAAAACAUUUCUAUUUUUCGAUCAUAGCAUACUUUCCACCACACCUUUUCAACAUUCUCCUUAUGUCAUUGCCCAACUACUUAAUCAACAGAUUUUUCUAUGUUCUACCAGAGAGCUCCUCUAGCUCACUCCCAUCCUCCAACAAUACAAUAUUUUUGGCAUUGCUAAGGGCAGAGAACCUUGCCCUCCUAUUUUUCUAUCAGUUUCAGCACACAUCAAUCAAUCCUGCAUAAAUGUACAAAAGUGGUUGAAGCUAGAGAUACCGUACCUGACGUCGCAUAUGGCUGACCGCCACCAUUUCUGAUGCUGUUCUUCGAUUCCAAGUGGAUUGCUUCAUGGGAUCUAUGCCUCAACUCAGUAGCGUCUUCAGCAUCCAUUUUUGCCGGUGUUUAGCUCUGAAAGAAGUGUCCGGCAAUUGAGAACGGACAACAAUCUUUCAUCCACAAGAGCUGAACCCGUCAACCGGAGGCUGAGUCAGAGCUAGUGUGGAAGAGUGGGCCAGUUGAUUGAUCUAAUCCAAACGCUGAGCUUUCCUCAGAUCUCGACCAACAUUGACUCCUCCGCCACGACGAUGGUUGCAUAUUUUCGUUGACUUCAGUUGCCCAUAUAUUUACUAGAUUGAGACGCUGGAUUUAGAUUCUAGAAUCUACUGCUAUUAGUCAAUACUUUAUGAAACUCGUUUUUUCCCUAGAUCGUUAUCGACUGGGCCUGGGCUGGACUCCUACCGACUAGACAUAAUUGCAUGGACUGGUAUUUUGUUAACGGGCCAAUCGACACGGCCCGUUUGUCAUAUUGAGCCCGUGUGGCCGGUCUAUUCGCAAAACUCAACAAUAGUGAUUUUCCCGCUCUUUGUGUAAGCCCCCCAAUACCCAAAAUUAAAAAGAAGAGGUCUUUGAAACUUGGUCUAAUUAUGUACAGAAUUACAAACUGAAAACGAAAGCAUGAAAUAGAAAUUACAGUGUUACACAGGUAGCUCCUUGCUGAGGUUCCUGGUUUCAUCAUGCGCUGUCGAAUAGCGGCUCCUCUUGAUCAGAACCUUCAAUUUCUCAUAAGCACGACCGAGUCCAGCAACUGAUCCCAUUAAGCGGCCAUUUAGUGAGAUCAGUUUCACUCGGAAUUCACCCAAAGCUAGAAUAAGAGCUGCAACUGCUCUUUUGCAUAGUGUUUUAGACAGUUGGUACGAACCAAUUGCAGUGAUCAUAAGAUACAUGCUCCAGAAGAAGAGUGUGAGCCAUCCGAAAGGCGGAAGCAAGAUGAGCAACUCUAAAAUAGAAGCAAGAGUUCCAAGCAAGACGCCAAUCUUAUUCAUGAAUUCACCAAAGUCUCUAUUACUCUGAUUGAUUUGGAGUAUCAUGACACUUAGUAAUCCGAAGUAAAGAGAUAUGUCGGUAAUAAAUAGUUUCAUCAGAAUAGUUCUGCGACAGUCUUUCACAAGUGCAGACGCAUUUGCGAACUCCAGUUGGAGGCAAAGCCCUAAAAUGGUGACGAGGGAGACUAUGCACUUGUGCAGUGCCAGAACAGAACUUCUCCAAAUUGCAAACUCCUCCAUUAUGUUACUGUGAUGAUCAUAAAUUCGUAAUUCAUGAAUCAUGAGAGUAUUAAUUGGAGUAUAAUGUCAUUGAAAUUAUACGUAUAUCAGUUUAUGAUGUUACCAAGAAAAGUAUUAGUAAAUAUUAGUGAUCCAUAAAUCGUUCAAACUAUAAAGAAAAAUUUUAAAACAAAAUAUAUAAUCAGUAGGGGAUACAGGGGUCCCCUGUCUUAUUUUCAUCAAUAUCAGUGACAUAUCUCUGAGUUCUUAAUCAACAAAUUACUCGAACACCCUGAAUAUUUGGAUUUAAGAAGAGCUCUCAAAAAUACAAAAUCUAUGCAUGAUGCUAACAAAUGAAUAUUCUAUUAACAAAUUAAGAGAACUGGUGCCAGAUGCCAUAGUUCAUGUCACAGAAUGUGGAAUCUUUGACGAAGUCCAUUUCUGAAGAAAAAAAAUAAGAGUAACAAGAUAUUUGAAGACGCUAGAGUUAGAAAUUUAGAGAGAUUCUGAACACUUUAAUACUUCUAUUUUAUCGAAAUUUUUUGUUAAUUGUUUAGUUCACUAAGGAGAUGGUGUGCGUAUCAAUUUACUUGAGUAGAAGAAAUUGUAUUGUUAAAACCAAUGGCCAGAAGGCACGUUACAUCAUAUAUCAGGCUUUAUACAAUCUGUCGAUAAUGACCUACAAGCACUAUGACCCAUACCCUCAUUGAAAAUAAGCUCGAGAAAAACUUGAAGCGUAGGAAACAAAACCAUAACACCUAAGUUCCAGACAAGAAUAAACUAGCUAGCUGCCUAAUUUCCAAACAUAAUGGUUUUGUUUUGUUUUUUUAUUUUUUUUAUAAAAUACUGACAAAGAUUAGGCGAUAUCAGCUCCUCUAUAACAGUCUGGUGGUUGAUAGAGCACCCACUCUACCCCAAAGGGGACCGCUACAACCGGGAAUCCACCGCCCGUCCCUUAUCAGAAUUUUUAUUUAAAAUAAUAAAAGAAAUUACAUGAAAAGAGGAAUGGGGGACUAGGCAACAUAGUGGUUUUGUUUUUCCAACAGAAGUUACUGAACAGAGUGGUAAUAUUUGAAGGAGAAUAUUUUAUGCUUCUGAAUUACAAGCUCUUUGAUCUGAUCCUGGGGAGAAAAAGAAGAACUAGCAAGAACUGUAUAUAUAUUGGCAAACUGCAGACUAGCAGCAAACAUGAUCCUUAGGACUAACAGAGCAACCAGGAAAAAGAAAAAACUAAGUAGAACUGUAUCUAGAGAGAAGUAACAAAUUCGAAUUAAGGAAGACCAAAACCAAAGCCAAAAGUAUAUAGUAGUGAGAGGAUAUACUAACAAUGAUAAACGUUGAGACUUGAGAGUUUAAGUGCCCUCCUCCGUUAAUUCCACAUACAGCUUUCUGGGAGCUCUUGCUCUCGGAGAAGACAAUAUGUAGUGGAUGGAGACUAGGACAAAAAAAAAAAAAAAAACCAGACGUCAGUUUGAUCUGAUAAAAAUAUAUUAGACGUCUUUUUCUGCUUUUGCGUUUUCGUUUUCGUCUAGUUGCAUCCGACAUUCACCAGACGAAAAUGUCGAAAAUGUCCAGACGAAUUGAAGAUUUCUGUUGAAUCGAAAUCAAGGAUCAUAGGAGAGGUGCGUAAUUUUGCGUAAUCUUCCGAGUCUUUGCAACUUGGAGAUGAUACUGGACGUCUUUUUCUGCAGUUCUUAAUUUGUUGAUAGCAGACGUCUUUCCAAUUUUUUAGUAGUAGAAUCAAGGAUGCUAAUCUGACCAGGAAAAAGGAAUCAAGGAAACUAAAAACGCGGAAUCCAUCAAAUCUUACGUCACCAAUUUUCAUACAUGUUAAACACUUAAACGUCACUGACUCUCUGCUAUGGCACAGAACACAUUUCGUCUUCUAACUCUUCAAUGAAUACAUUCCCUUCUGAGCACUGUGCAACCAGUGUAAAAUCAUUAGAUUAUUCUUUAUUAUGAUCAUUUAUUUUUGCAUGAUGUCAAAAGCGGGGUUUACUACAUCACCGCAUGCAUAUGGGCCAUGCUGGUCCGGCCCACUUGAAUAUUGAUGCCGCUCCUUCUAAUACCCAAAUAUUUAGUCUCUAUUUUCGGCUCCAAAUUUCCGAAUGUCAAAUCCCCUAUCGAAAAUUACCGUCUUCGCUUCAGCUAGUAUAAUUAAUCAUAACGAUAAUGCGACAGUUAACUGAAUCGGAUAGUAUUGCCGAAAGUGAUGUAUCUCAGUCUCUGUUUUAAACCCCAAACAAAUCCCAAAUCAAAAUUAAUGUAUUAGAAACUCAACAGCUUAAUUAAAGUUGAAAUCUCUAGUAGCUAGCUACCCUCUUUGGAUACACUUUUCUAACUGUAUCAUUAAAGUACAGAAAAUGACAUCUUUUUAUAUUUUCAGUAUUUUUUACUUUAUGGGUACUCAUAAAGAAAGAAAAAUAAUAAUGAAAAAAAAAUUAAUAUAGGAGAGAGAAUAAACAUAAAUACAAAAUUUAAAAUAAAAUUGAAAAAUUGAGAUACCGAAAUUCAAAACGUGGCUUUUAGUUAGUAGAGACAGCAAUAGAGAAUACCUUUUUAAAAUUCACGGAUACACUAUAAGACUUUUAAAUAAGCAAUAGGUAUGUCAUACCAUAUGGUAUGAUAAACAAACCUCUAAAGCAAAAGAUAAAAAAAAAAAAUAAUGUAUCCUAUGAACCCUUUUCUAGUAGUAUUUCCUUAGGAUUUCCUUAUUAAAAGAGAUGCUUUCAAUGCCGAAUAAGAUGUACGUAUCAAGAGUAGGUGGCAGCUAUAGAGAUUCAACAGGUACCUUCACUGGUGUGGUUCUGAUUCUGGGCUUCAUGCUCUGUCAUCCGCCCCUCAUCCCUGGUGAUCAGGUCCUUCAAUUUUUGAGAGGCACGAGCGACUGCUGCGAUUGCAUUACUGUCCAUUAAUCGGCGAUUCAAAUCAACCAGCUUCCGUUUCAAUUCUCCAACGGAACGAACAAGAUGUUCAACUGCGUUUUGGAAGAGUGUUUUCAGAGACUGUUAAGAGUUACUGACGAACCAUAAAAGGCAGAUGCACCAUAAGAAGAGUAGGAUCAUUCCGAAAGGUGAAAGCAGAAUAAGCAACUCCAAAUUCAGUGAUAGACUUCCAAGAAAGAGGCUAAGUUUGUUUAUCGGAUCUUCCAAAUCUGCGUUAUCGCGUCGACUAGCUUGGAUUGUCAUUACAAUCAAAGAGAGGAUGUAAAUGCAUAUCACAAUAAUGAAUACGUUCAUCAGCUGAGAGCCGUAGAUCGUCGCAUAUGGAGACACAUUGGGGAACUUGAGUUGCAAGCAGAAUCCUAAGACGCCGAUGAGAGAAAUUAUGCAUGUAUGCAAUUUCACUACAGAGUAUUCUUUAGUUUGAACCAACCCUUGUGAAGGUGAAGAGAUAACCACAGUGGUGUCUGCCAUUCCACAGCUUUUCAUAGCAUAAUUAAACUUUGGCCUUAAUUUAAACUUCGAGAAUGUAAACUGAAAGUUUGGCGAAAUGGCGACGUACGCGAUGAGAGAACAAAGCUAUACAUGACAAAGCGCACUGUUUGCCAAAGGAGGGACUGCCCUGUAUUGGUAUGUGCUUCCUAUAUUUCUACUGGCAUCUUGCCAAAAGAGGAACUGCCCUGUAAUAAAGGGACUGCCCUGUAUUGAAUUGUUUUUGUUUUUCUACUGGGAUUCCAGAUUCCUUCUUCUUCUUUUUUUUCACCACUAACCUCCACAUUGAACCAGAAAUCGUUUCUGAGACCCACAUAGACUAAAUAUUUAUACUAUUUUGCAUCUGUG